rnacentral:rRNA from 1 species
GCUGAUGCAGCACAGUCUGAGUUGCCUGCAGAGAUUCAGCAGGUGUUGUCACAAUUCAGUUCAGUCUUUGAUGUUCCCAAAGGAUUACCUCCAAGGAGAAAAUAUGAUCAUACCAUUCCCUUAAUUCCUGGGGCUCAUCCUUUUUCAAUCAGGCCUUAUAGAUUGGCUCCUUUGCUUAAGGAUGAAUUGGAAAAGCAAGUUCAGGAAAUGCUGGCCUCUGGUAUUAUUAGACACAGUAACAGUCCAUUCUCUUGUCCUAUGAUUUUGGUACAAAAGAAGGACUAG